UACUUUUUUGACUUUCCAAUCUUGCCCUUCACUAUACGCAUAUGCAUAUAAAAUUUUCCUCUUCUCUCUUAAUUCAUUUCCUUUUCCUCCUUCCUUAACAGCACCACCACCUCCGACCGCCGCAUUACCAUAAACCACCACCAGUUUCAGAUCUAAUACCAACCUUCUUUUUUCUGCUACUACCAUUUACAUCGCCACCAAUAAUACCUCCGCGACCACCAACCAGUUACGACGUUGACAUCAACACCAAAUCCUCUUAAUCCCAUCCUCCUCCCCCUUCACCACCAGUAGCAACACCUUCUCCUUCUUCUUCUGUACCUCUAGCAAAUCCACACCUUCUUCUCCUUGUUUCCUUCUUCCCCCAACCCCACCAACAACACCUCCUCUUCUUCCUCCUUUUCCUCCACCACCACAAGCAAUAAGUUGAAUUGAUUGAUAGUAAUACGAUUGAAUCUGAGAGUAAGCCGAAAUGAUUCAUGUAUUUGAGUAUUAUUACAAACUGAAUUAGCAAAACCAAGGUGGUGAUGGUGGCGAAUUGAUCUCAUGGUGGAAAUGAACCAUUGACGGAGAUUCAAUUUCAUCUGCUGGUGUUUGUCUUGGGAGAAACGAUGAAUUUUAAUGGUAAUUUGAAGUUGGUUCUGGUCAGUCUAUAAACUAAGUAACUACUUGGAAGAGAAGCAGGUGAAACUCUGCGAGUUCACAUUCGACAUCCAGUAUGUACUUGAAAAUUUGAAGGGAUGCUUGGAUACAUAAUGGAUAAAUGGGUCGUGGAGUCAGUUAUGGAGGAGGUCAUAGUUUUUAGGAUAUCUCUUUGCUGCUCAUGAGGAACCAAAACCAUCCGCACCUGUUGCACUUGCUGCUGCUUCAACUGCUUCUGCUACUCAGACCCCCAGUUUAAAGUGUACAUGCAGUUAACAAGUCUCCCCCUUCUCCCCCAGUGUAUAAAGAUAAGUUGGGUCCAUCAGGAGUAGUGCAAGGUCCUCUAGCCAAUAAAUACUAUCGCGCUAAUGGCCAAAACACUGGCAAAUUCAUCACUGGAGUUUUUAACUAAGAUCUGCACAAUUUCAUCCAUCUUGUCUCAUUCUUAGACUAUGAGUGAUAUAUA